rnacentral:misc_RNA from 1 species
GAUGAAGAACGCAGCGAAAUGCGAUAAGUAGUGUGAAUUGCAGAAUUCAGUGAAUCAUCGAAUCUUUGAACGCACAUUGCGCCCCUUGGUAUCCCGAGGGGCAUGCCUGUUCGAGCGUCAUUUCACCACUCAAGCCUGGCUUGGUGUUGGGCGACGUCCUCUUUGGGGACGCGCCUCGAAACGCUCGGCGGCGUGGCACCGGCUUUAAGCGUAGCAGAAUCUUUCGCUUUGGAAGUCGGGGCCCCGUCUGCCGGAGGACCUGCUCGCAAGGUUGACCUCGGAUCAGGCAGGGAUACCCGCUGAACUUAAGCAUAUCAAUAAGCGGAGGA